GAUGAACGCUAGGCGACAGGCUUUAACACAUGCAAGUCGAGGGGCAGCACAGGUAGCAAUACCGGGUGGCGACCGGCGCACGGGUGAGUAACGCGUAUGCAACUUGCCUAUCAGGAGGGGGAUAACCCGGCGAAAGUCGGACUAAUACCGCAUGAAGCAGGGGCCCCGCAUGGGGGAUAUUUGCUAAAGAUUCAUCGCUGAUAGAUAGGCAUGCGUUCCAUUAGGCAGUUGGCGGGGUAACGGCCCACCAAACCGACGAUGGAUAGGGGUUCUGAGAGGAAGGUCCCCCACAUUGGUACUGAGACACGGACCAAACUCCUACGGGAGGCAGCAGUGAGGAAUAUUGGUCAAUGGGCGCGAGCCUGAACCAGCCAAGUCGCGUGAGGGAUGAAGGUUCUAUGGAUCGUAAACCUCUUUAUAAGGGAAUAAAGUGCGGGACGUGUCCCGUUUUGUAUGUACCUUAUGAAUAAGGAUCGGCUAACUCCGUG
rnacentral:rRNA from 1 species